GCAUGCGUGCGUGCGUGCGUGCGUGCGUGCGUGCGUGCGUGCGUCCACUUGCUCACUCGUUCUCAUGUGUGCAUCUCUUGGAUCAACAAUAUCUCAGCGUCUCAUUUCAGGGGGGUUUGAAUGAAAAAAUACGAUGGUUAAGUUUAAUCAUUAAAUCCGACUGGUUAAGGUAAAGGGGUAAGGUAAAGGGUUAAGGUAAAGGUAAAGGUUAAGGGGUAAGGUAAGGGUUAAGGUAAGGGUUAAGGGUAAAGGUUUAAGGGGUACGGGUUAAUGGUUAAUGGUUAAGGGUUAAUGGGUAAGGUAAAGGUUAAGGGGUAAGGUAAGGGUUAAGGUAAGGGUUAAAGGUAAAGGUUUAAGGGGUACGGGUUAAUGGUUAAGGGUUAAUGGGUAAGGUAAGGGUUAAGGUAAAGGGUUAAGGUAAGGGUUAAGGGCUAAGGUAAGCGUUAAGGUUUAAGGUAAUGGUUAAGGGGUAAGGUAAGGGUUAAGGUAAGGGUUAAGGGUAAAGGUUUAAGGGGUACGGGUUAAUGGUUAAGGUAAGGGUUAAGGGUUAAUGGUUAAGGGUUAAUGGUUAAGGUAAGGGUUAAGGUAAGGGUUAAGGUAAGGGUUAAGUUAAGGGUUAAGGUAAUGGCUAAGGUAAUGGCUAAGGUAAGCGUUAAGGUUUAAGGUAAUGGUUAAGGUAAGGGUUAAGUUAAGGGGUAAGGUAAGGGUAAGGGUUAAGGGUAAAGGUUUAAGGGGUACGGGUUAAUGGUUAAUGGUUAAGGGUUAAGGUAAGGGUUAAGGGUUAAGGUAAGGGUUAAGGUAAUGGUUAAGGGUUAAGGUAAGGGUUAAGGUAAGGGUUAAGUUAAUGGCUAAGGUAAGCGUUAAGGUUUAAGGUAAUG